rnacentral:tRNA from 1 species
GUCUGGCUGGCUCAGUCAGUAGAGCAUGCAACUCUUGAUUGCAAGGUCAUGAGUUUGAGCCCCAUGUUGGCA